AGUCUAAUUGUUUCACGUACUCUUGCGCUAUAGUAUACUCAGCCAAAUUAAAAACUUGACACUCGGGAUUUUUGGGACUAGAUUUUUAAUAUUUGGUUUAAGGCAACUAUUUUAGUGUUAUGUUGUGCACAGACGACCGUGACAUCAACAGAAAGCAAGAAUACGUCUCGCCGAAAGUCCUUGACAUUGAUAACGUUCGUGAUGUCACAGUACCCCCCAAAAUGAAAUUCACAGACUUGGAGAACAAUCGGAAUAAAGUGUUUAGUAACGGUUGUGGCCUCCUCUAGCGUCUCGUACUGCCACACAACGUCUUCUCAUGGAUCUCAGAACAUUAGUAAACACUACCCGAGGAAGACGUCGCCACUGCUCAGCAAGAGCAUGUUGAAGGUCCUGCAACGUCAGUGGUGGAUUUUCUUGCUGACGAACACGUCGACCCAGGUCGUCCCAGAUGUGUUCAAUAGGAUUAAGGUCGGGGCUAAGCGACGGCCAAUCCAGGACUUGGACACCGGCAUUUCUUAAAAAAUUCUGGGUAGCAAUUGCUGUAUGGGGUUGAGCAUUGUCUUGUUGAAACGUUAGUCCAGGCCCAUGUCUCUGCAUAAACGGAAGAAGAACAGGUUGCAAAAUCUGAUCCCUGUACUGGACAGCAAUUAAGUUCCCUUGGACAACAACAAGAGGAGAACGUCCAUGUGCACAAAAAGAACCCCAAACCAUGACGCUGCCGCCACCAAAUCGGCCAACUUCUCUGACGCAUACUUGAGCGUAACGUUCACCUCGUCUGCGGUACACUCGGACCCUGCCAUCGGCAAAUCUCAAAGUGAAUCGAGAUUCGUCACUAAAGACAACCGAAUUCCACUGUCUUUGAGUAAAUCUUAUGUGUCUUGUGGCCCACACAAGUCGGUUACGGCGAUGAAGAGGUGUCAAUAUUGGUCCAUUAUAGGGCCUCCGAGCUCGAAGACAAGCAGCCUGCAAGCGAUUUCGAACAGUUUGUGCAGUUACCCUUCCACCAAACAUCUCUCUACUUGUGGAGGUUGCAGUGACAAAUCUGUUUCUAAGAUGACGUAAUCGUAUUGCUUGAUCUUCCUGGGCGGUCGGCAAUAGUUCCAGUUUGAAGCACUCUCAUUCUAAGAUUAAUUAUUGUCUGGCGUGAACAAUUAAAGGCUCUUACAACAGUGACCACAGACUGACCAGCAUAGAGCCUACCUAUAGCACGUAGACGUUCUACAUUUGAAAGGCGCGGCAUUUUCUAACAAAGAUGAAAAUAACAAUUUUAAUGUGUUUUUCCAGUUCAAUUUACGUGUGCGUGUUCAGUUUAAGCAAACUUGCAUCGAUUGACCUCACGAGUUUGUGUUUGCACAUGUUUUUCAGGUUUUUCAUCUUUAUAUUCUCAAAAGUCACGUGAUCCACGUGACUUUACAAUUUUAUGAAAUUAAAGGCUUCUUACUACUUACUAUCGUUAGAAACACUUUAAAAUUUAUUUGACUUACCAGAAAAAAAAAAUUGUUGAAAUUCAUCAGUGUCAAGUUUUUAAUUUGGCUGAGUAUAUAAUAGUAUAGUAUUAUCAUCAUGCGUGUUAUUUUGUGGAUUGCAAUGGUCUUGACCACUGUCGUGACUUUCUCUGGACCAAGGAGCGGGUGGCCUUGGUCACGAUAUGGAGGGAUGAGGAAUCCAAGAUGCAUCAGUUGUUCAGAGGUAAAAGAGGCCCAUUUGUGUGAAUCCUGCUGCAAAAUUAAACCAUUCUAUUGUCGGAAGAAUGAUUAUACAUCGGCAUGCCGAGUCUCUACUGGAGAUGGCACUUGUUCGGGUGGUGUUUGUCUCAAAAUGUAUCUGGUUAUGGUUUUAUUGUCCCUGUUAGCCGUUCUACUGAUCGGAUUUGCAGAAGGACAAUCCUGUGACAGCAGGUUCUCCAAGGGAUGCAACUCCAAUAUCUUAUCAGGUUACAAACGGAAUUUUAAAUCGGCUUGUAAUAGACAUGAUGUUUGUUAUUCCUGUGGCGCCGAUAGAGGAGUUUCAAGAUACGAAUGCGACUAUGCUUUCUACUACGAUAUGGAUGACCACUGCGGCAGCCGUUCCUACUUCUCACGAUUUUGGUGCCGCAUUAUGAAGAAUCAAUUUUAUUACGAAGUUCGGUGGUUCGGUGCAAGUGUGUAUAACGAUACAGUUGGGGAGUAUUGUGAUGAAUAUUGGGUGGAUGCUUGCAUGCCAUAGAUCGUUGCCGUUUGUUCACUCUACCAAACAAAAAAUUGUCGAUUUGAGGGUGUUGUACAUAAGGCAGGAUAUGCUUACACUGUCUAUCUAGAACACCGGCUACCACUUCUCGUUUGAUCUAGAUAAUUGUUGUAGUAUUUUUGAAACUAUGUAAUAAAAAUAUUUCUCAAUUAAA